UUUUAGGGAGGUCAUUGUUAAAUUGAGUGAUGAAUUAAAAUAAUACUGCUAAGACAAGCUGAUCGAAACUUGAUAAUCUUUGAUAUUUGACCUAUUAAUGUGAACUAGACAUUUGAACAAAUGACAAUCAUGGGCACGUAUCAUGCCCAUCUCAAUUUCAGAAAAUUGUUAAUUUAUUUUAAAUUCCCUUAUGGUUUACAAAGUGACAGCCAUAAUCAGCUUAUUAUUCCUAUGUUUUUAUGUUUACCUCUUAGUGUGGCCAGGUGACAUGGGUCGUACACUUAGCACACUGACUCCAAAUGGUAAACCAUUUAAAAUUCCCUAAUGAGUUAUAAAGUAACAUUGAAAACCAGCUGUACUGCAAAAAGUAUUCAACUGACCUUUAAACUUUGAUCUCGAAAACAAAUAUAUUUGUCUUACACAAAACAUGGUGCUUCCACAUGGUUAACUUUUGUUAUUUUUAAAUUGACUGAUCAAUAUAAAACGCUGACAAGUUUUGUGUGUGCCAACAAGUGUUUUAAGGGAAUAUAUGGUAUCAUUCUGCAAAAGGAAGUAAACACGAUAUUUUUUUAAGUCUGAAGAUUGUUCACAAAUACCUGAGCUGUUCAAUGUGACAAAAAUGGCGUCCGAUUUUGAGGCAUCUAUUUCCAAAGGAUCUGAUUUAAUCUAUGACAUUGUGUGACAUUUGUGUGGAAAAUGAGAUAAACACACAGGCGGACAUGAACUGUGAGAAAUGUUCAAAGUUCUAUUGAAGCAGCUGUAUGCAACACCACAAUCAGCCCUUUAAAAAGCACACUGUAUUUGGGAGAGAAUAUCUGGAGAAGUGGCCAGUUACCAAGGCAGCAGAAGAUCGAAUAGAACUGUGUAGGGAACACAAGGGCAGAAAAAUGGAAGUGUUCUGCGAGGAGUUGAUGUGCACAGUCUGUCAUCUACAGAAUCACAAGCCAUGUCAUCACGUGAUACUCAUUGCUGAUAAAGUGAAAAGCCUUCGCCAGAAAGGAGAUUUUCAAUAACUUUCAGCAAAUCUUGACUUAUUACAAGGACAAUUGUGGUGAAGAAAACUAAAAUUGAGGGAUAUAUGCAGUCUACUGCAAAAACCUUCAAGCAAAUUCUGGAAGAAAUAAAUGCUUCGCAGAAGAACAUCAAUAUUUAUUUCGAUCAAAUGAAGAAAAAUACCACCCAGGAGUUACAGUUAAUAAAGACCACUGUCCAGCAUAAUGUCAAAACAUGCAACGAGUUUAUUGGAAACACACAAUCUGUACAAGAAGAAUGGGUGAAAGUUAAAGACAAAAGGGGCACUUCUUCUUUUAUUAAUGAACAAACAAGGCCUUAAGCAUUGUUUUAAGGCAAGAGCAGCUUUAAUUGAAAUGCCAACAAAUGUUGACGUGACAUUGGCGUAUAUGCCAGAACCAAUCAUAAACAGAAGUCUGUCUGCUCUCUCAAUGUUACAAAAUAUACACAGAGACAAACAGGAAUCGCAAACUGAAAAUAAAACAAAUCCUGAAGAAACCCGAGGUAUCGUCUCCAUCUAGCCCACCUGCUACUGAACGCCAGUUAAGUGUAAUAACCCAGCCAAGCCUGGUAUUGGAGUCAGAAUUAUGUUUGACAGGCAAAACAGAUAUGGCAAGAAAUUCAGCUUAUCAGAGAACAUUUAAAUAUCCGAUUUUGGAACCAGAUUGCAAGACAAGUCUAACUCAUCACAAAUAACCCGUAAAAAUUAUGAAAAUAUGGAGGGUAAGCUGGCUAAUCUAAAUAAAGACAUCAGAGUAAACAGUAAUCAGCAGUAUAUAGUUGACAUGACUUAUGACUCCUUCCCUUUCAGUAUAACCAGCAUUUGUGAGAUUCUUCCGGAAAACUGGUCAUCACUGACAUGGUUAACAAGAAAAUUAUGUUGCUGGAUCGGACAUUCUGGGUGGAAUCCCAACUUGGCUCGAAUGAUUCACUAAGGUCAAUGUGUGGCGUUGACUCUAAUCUAGUGGCUGUUGCUCUAGGAAAUCAUGGAUGUUUUUUUUCAUCAAACUCACCAAUAGCAGUUUGGUACAAGACACGACAUUUAGACUCAAACACCAGUACAUGGUAUUGCCCAUCACCAGGGUAAUCUGUAUAUAACAUCCCAAACAAACCUGCACAAGUACAAUAUGGACGGAAGACUUGUGAGCAAGAUUUAUCAGGAGACAUCCGGGACGUCGACAUCAAUAUCCUGUGAAGUUAGUCCAGAUGGAGACAGGAUAUAUGUGGCAAACAGGAUAAAGAACACGUUAGUCACCCUGUCCAGGGAUGGCACGGUGAUCUCCACACUGACUGACCCAGCGCUGGACUGGAGACUCCUAAGUGUGCCUCCAGGCCUCCAUGUGACAGAAAUGGGACAAGUCCUCGUGUGUGGACGCAUGUCUCAUACAGUCCUCCAGGUGGAUAGAAACAGGACACGGAGGCUUACAGAGGUGGUUACCGAGAAAGAUGAUGUAAGGAAGCCAACUGCAGUUUUCUUCAGUUCACUUACAAACACACUUAUCAUGAGGAUGGCGGAAAGUCAUAAAGUACUGGUGUUCAAGACCACGUAAUUUUGUGCUAUUUUUAUAUUUGGAAUUCGACGUGUGAAAUAUAUCCAUACUUGUACAUUAUUUUUUGCGAAGACUGAUAAAUGGACAUUUUUUUAUCUUAAGUUUGCUUUGAAAAUAAAAAUAUACAAUGCAGAAAUUAUAUUUGAUUUAUAGUUGUUUACUGCGCAAUAGGCCUGCAUAGGAAUUAAACCUCUGGGGUCAUAGCAUUAAAUCAGAAGGUAAGGGAUUUUUAAUGACCAAUAUAUAAUUAUAUGCACAAUUAUAUUGAUUCUCAACUACUUUAAUAAAUAUGUGUGCAAGUGACAUGAGACAUAUAUCUUAUUGUGCUGUGUAAAGGUUUGGGAUUUCAUUCGUAAAUGUAAGUUUUACACUUUUGAUUUUUCCCUUUUACCCUGCUGAUGUCCUUUCGGACUGCAGAUAUUUCUCUUUUGCAGUCCCGUUUUUGCCCUCUUACACUACUGCAGAUUUUUCUCUUUUACACUGUUAAUUUUGCCCUUUUACACCGCAAUUAUGCACCUUUUUUGCUUAACGUUUUGAUGUAUUUGUAUCACCAACAUUUAUUAAUUCCUGUGAUGUUUUGCUUUCAUAUAAAUGAAAAGAAUUAGAAAGAAUUCACCUUAAAUUGUGUAACAGAUUUCUACGAAUAAGAAGCAAUAUGUAUUUUGAUGCAGUUUAAGAUGACCUUUGCAGAUAUCCACAUAUACAUUAGAACAAUUAAAUAAUGGUUUUAAAGUAUAGACAGUGAUAGUUUUAAAUUAAGGACUGUUAAUAAUGAGGCUCUUAAAGACUGCAAUAGUGGAAAGAGAAAUUGGGUAACAAAUGUCAAACAUGAUAAAGGCUAUACGCAAGUCUUCAGGAACAGUCGCAUAGCUAGAAACAAAAACAGUGUAUUCAUAUUUAAUCCUGUGACGUUGAAGAUGAAUAUCAUUGUUAUUAUGAUAGAAGGCAAAAUAAAUAAAAUCUCAUUAUCUCAAGCAGCCAUCAGUAUAUACAUUAUUGAGCCUUAUGAGAACAUGUACCUAAGAAGUAGUUUACUGUUGUUUAUUAAACAAGCUCUUUUUAAUCAAAACCGCCAUAUUGAAUGUUGUUCAGAAUCAAAGUGCAAUUAACUGAAUUGUUAUGCUUCAAGGUUUGGUUGUUUAUGUAAUUGUUUGUUAGUUUUUAUGUAUAAAAUUCUCAUAAUCAGAGAGCGUUUUUUAAAGGGACUUUUUCCCAGAUUUUGGCAUAUUUUGAAGUUUGUCAUUAAAUGCUUUAAUUUAGGAAGUACAAACGUUUUCAAUACUGUGUUUUUUCCGAUUAGUGUAAGUUUACGAUGAUGCCAUGAUUUAAAGCAGUUUUUAAAAUUCUGUAAUUUAGGUAGUAUGUUUUAAGAACUGUAUCCUUUUCAUUAUUUGUGAAAGUAAUUCCUAACGUUGUGGCUUCAUCGGAUGUCCAAUUAAAUUUCAUUUCUUUUUUAUAUUGAAUAUUACUUUGUUUUAAUUUCCCUACUCGUAGUACAGUACAUUUACUUUUGUUUAGUUGAAGACCCGAUGUCAUUCCGUAAAGGGUUAGCGACUCUAUUAAGUUAUGGAAAGAAUCGUAAUUGUCAUUUAAAAAAUAAGUUUCAUCGUCCGCAAAUAGGGAUUGUUUGAUUUCUUCGUCAGGUUCUAGUGAUAUGCCUUUUAUGUGUUUAUUUGAUUGGAUGUGAUGUGAUAGAUACUCGAUGCAAAUAAUAAAUAGCGAUGAUGAGAGUGGACAUCCUUGUCGAACCCCUCGUUCGAUGUUAAGACUGUUUGAAAAGAAGCCAUUGUUAAUGAUUAUACUGUUAAUAUCGGUAUAGAAUAGUUAAUUAAAUCAAUAUAUGUUUGAACAGUUCUCCCAAAUCCACCAAAUGAACGAUAUAAAAUCAGCAAUAUUUAAUUUCAUUCGGGACGGUUAGCCUGAUAAAAUAAAAAGAACUCAGUUAAUUCAAUCUGUAGAAAAUGGAGGUAUCCAAUUAACGAACAUUGACUCAUUCUUGAAUGCAAUCAAAUGCAGCUGGGUUAAAAGAUACCUAGAUAAUACCAAUACGAGUAAAUGGAAAUUAUUCUACCAGAAAAUCC